rnacentral:rRNA from 1 species
UACAGAGGUCCCAAGCGUUGUUCGGAUUCACUGGGCGUAAAGGGUGCGUAGGUGGUUGGGUAAGUUUGGUGUGAAAUCCCGGGGCUCAACCCCGGAACUGCACUGAAUACUGCCUUGCUAGAGCACUGGAGAGGGAACUGGAAUUUACGGUGUAGCAGUGAAAUGCGUAGAUAUCGUAAGGAAGACCAGUGGCGAAGGCGACUACCUGGCCUGCUU